UUCUCCUUCGUUUCUCCACCAAAUCGAUCGAGUAAGGCACCAGGAGCCCGACAGAAUUAUAAAAGAGAUCUUCGAGGGGUCGAAGUAGCUCGGACCAUCUGCCAUAGAAAUAUGCGGGAUCCACCACCGAGCCAUUCAAAUCCUCCGCAUCACCACGUAAGGUAAAGUUUUGUAGUUGAAACCCUGAAACUUAGAAAAUGCUCUGAUAUAUAUAGUUGAAGUUGGAAAACUGGAGUGGAGAUCUGUUAUUUGGAAUAUUCUGGCAGUUUGUGUGAAUUUAUGGGUUGUUUAA